UACGGAGGGGGCUAGCGUUGUUCGGAAUUACUGGGCGUAAAGGGCUCGUAGGCGGCCAACUAAGUCAGACGUGAAAUCCCCAGGCUCAACCUGGGAACUGCGUCUGAUACUGGAUGGCUUGAAUCCGGGAGAGGGAUGCAGAAUUCCAGGUGUAGCGGUGAAAUGCGUAGAUAUCUGGAGGAAUACCGGUGGCGAAGGCGGCAUCCUGGACCGGCAUUGACGCUGAGGAGCGAAAGCUAGGGGAGCAAACGGG
rnacentral:rRNA from 1 species